UGAGACAUGCAAGUCGAACGAGGUGCCAACGAGCUUGCUCGAUGGUUACCUAGUGGCGGACGGCUGAGUAACGCGUAGGUGACCUACCCGGAAGUGGGGAAUAACUGCCCGAAAGGGUGGCUAAUACCGCAUGUGGUCGGCGGUUCGAUUCGCCGUCCAAAGGAGUAAUCCGCUUCCGGCGGGGCCUGCGUCCGAUUAGCUAGUUGGUGAGGUAACGGCCCACCAAGGCGACGAUCGGUAGCUGGUCUGAGAGGAUGAUCAGCCAGACUGGGACUGAGAACGGCCCAGACUCCUACGGGAGGCAGCAGUCGGGAAUUUUGCCCAAUGAGCGAAAGCUUGAGGCAGCAACUCCGCGUGAGGGAUGAAGGCUCUCGGGUCGUAAACCUCUUUUCUCAGGGAAGAUCCAAGACGGUACCUGAAGAAUAAGCGACGG
rnacentral:rRNA from 1 species